GCCGCAGUAACAACUGAAUUACAGACUAAUUCAACACAUAAAAGCAACAGUGUGCAUCUUUACCAGUGACAACCAUCUUGGAUAUCCCCAGUUCAGUUGGCGGUCUCAAAAAUCUCUACUAUAUGAAAUUGAACAACAACGGCUUACCUGAUUCACUAGCCAUCAUUGGUGGCCUUUAUCUUGUAUAGUUGUCGGAUUGCCACAGCAAGGACACCGUCAACUUCCGCUGCCUCGACAAGAAUCUCAGACAUGUACUCCCCUUUUCUUCAUGUACUCCAGCAUCUUGAUCAUCUAGGGCAUCCAUUUGUUCAUACUGCUCAUCUACUGAUGGACUGAAAUUGAGAUCCUGGAGGACCAUAUUGAUGUGUUGAAUCAAUAAUUAUUGUUACAGGGCUCGGGAGAAUUGCUGAAUCACGGCGAGGCUGCUGCAACU